GCCCUAUGUUACAUUUGUGGGGAGAAUGCAGCCAAGGCAGGAGGAUUCACUGUGCUUAAUGCAAUGGAUAAUAUAGUUCACCCAUCUGUAGUGUUACACAGUUUGCUCUGUCUUGUGGAAAAGAACACUGAGUACUAAUGAUAUUUGAAAAGUUCCAUAGUUCCUUUUUAUUUUUACUAUUCUUAUUAAAGCAGAAGAUGAAGUUUCUGAAGUCUUCUGACUGCGUUAUGAAAAUAAAUCCACCGUUUUCCAGAAUCUGAAAAAAUUGGUUUUUUCCAGUGAACUCCUAUGUCAUGCAGUAUUAAUCUUAUGAAGAGACAGGAUCAUUUAAAAGUA